UUUUUUAUUGGUUGCUCAAAACAUUACAAUGAUCUUGACGUAUCAUAUUUCAUACAUUUAGUUCAAGUGGGUUAUGAAUUCUUAUUUUUACCACGUGUACAGAUUGCAGGAUCACAUUGGUUAUACGUCCACGUUUAUACAUACUUGAUGGUGGCCAGUCAGCCAUGCUGUGAAAGAUGGCCAGCUGGCAAGGGAGUUGCUUAACUCAUCUAAUAAAGAAACAGUAAGGAUAAAGAUAACACCAGACCCUCACCUGGUUUCCAGACGGAGGUCAGAUCACACAGCCAGCAUCCAUUGCUACAAGUUCAGAAGAGGGUCCCCUUUAGGCAGGACCAUGAAAUGCUACCACAAGUGUAUAUGAUAAACAUUCCCCUAUCCUUUCAAAGGGACCUCAGGGAGAUUCUCACCUCUCUUUCUCUCUCUCUCUCUCUCUCUUUUUUUUUUUUUUUUUUUGGUCCUGGGGAUUGAAUGCAAGAUCCCAGCACUUUUUAUUUUGAGACAAGGUCUUCCUAAGUUGCUGAGGUUGGCCUUGAACUUGUGAUCCUCCUGACUCUACCUCCCAAGUUUCUGGGAUGAUCGGCAAGUAACAUCACAUCUAGCUAGAGACACCCACAUUUCUAAGGACAUUUAAAUAUAGGAUCUGGUCUACCACUGAUGGCUAAGGGACCAGAUGGCAAGUGGACUUUUGACCCAAACAUGUCCAGUGGGUUCAGGAGUCCGUGGCCUACCCUGUGGUUAUUUCCCCAGUCCCUGAAUGUGUUGAGAUAGAAAUAUGGAGGAGCCAGAAGAACCCUCCCUUUUGGCUCCACAACCUGUGAAUGAAGGGUUAUUAGUGUUGAAUGGGCCAAGUGGAAGGCCCUGAAACUACCCUCCAGCUCAGACAAGAUAAUAAAUGGGAGGAAUUAUUGGCACAUUCUGAAAGAAAUUGUAGAGAUUAGUGCCACCAUUACAAACUUAGAGGAUAUAAAGUGGGUGUCCCCUCCAUGUCCUUGCUCAGCUCACCAUUCUAGCCUGCUAACUCCAGGAUGGUGAUGGCACAUGACCAGGGAUGAACAUCCACUAAACCAGGUGGCAUCCCUGGCUGCAGCUUCCCUGCCAGAUGUGGUCAUUCGAGAAGAGCAGGUCAAACAGCCUCCAGCAUCUGUAGGAGGCAACUGAUCAAGCAAAUGCUCUUUUCCUCCUCCACAGGAAGGAUCAAAAGCGGUCAUCUUGGCUGCUCCCACAUGGUGGGACCCACUUGCUGUCUCACCCCAGGGCUACGCUCAUUCUCUUGUCCUCCCUUUGCAGUCCAAAGGGACCUCAACACACCGCAUGGCAUGGGUUCCCUAUAUUGACAUGCAAAUCGCUCCUGGGAGCACAAGAUGGAAAACAUUGAAUUUUCUAGUAAGACUUGGGUGACCAAGUGGGAGGUAAUCCCACAGAGACCUGGAGACUGCCAUGUUGGUGAUGUUUUUAGGGGUCUAGUGAUCUGGGACAUUGUAGGACACACCUCAAAGGUAAAGGACAAAUUGUGGCAUUGUGUACUUUCUCCCAGUAAGAGAGAGGCACAUGCUCAGUGGGGUUUUUGAGGCAGUAUAUGGCACAUUUGACCUAUCUGUGGUGUGACUAGAAAUACUACUUGCUUACAGUGGGACCUAAAUCAAAAGAGGGGACUCUGCAGGGAGUGUAGUCCCUGGUGGAGGCUGCCCUGGUGCUGGGAUUGUGUGUUGCAGCAGAUCCGAGUCUGGGAGUUCAUGUGGUAGAUAAAGAUGCUGUGAGAAGUCUUCGAAAAAUCACAGACAAGGAAGCCUUGAGCAGAGGUGAGUGGAUGGACAAGGAAGUGGGCACAAAAAGCAUGCGCAUCUCUCGUCUUCCAUUAAACUCCAGAAGCAUCCACGGCAGAAGAGGUUCGCAUCCAUCCGGUAGAAAUGAAGGUUCACUCUGGGAAGGUCCACCUGCCUUUCUCGCUGACCAGCAGAGUGCAGGGGCAGAGUGGCUGUGGUGGCUGGGCUGGAGGCUGUGCAUCUCACCAAGACCCAUCUUGCAAUGGCCACAGCUGAAUACUCAGAGUCAGCAGGAGAGGGUGACAUGGAACCUCAAUAUGACACCAUUCUUUAAGGAGACAAGCUAGUCACUGGUGGCAUAUUGAUUGCUUUAGACCCUUAGCUCUGGAAGGGCAGCAAUUCAUCCUUACUAGGAUGGACUGUCCUCUGGACAUAGAUCUGCCUGCCUUGUCCACAGAGCCUCCACCAUACCAGAUUCUGAGAGUGGACAAAAUACCUGAUUUCCUGGCAUGAUGCACCAUAUAACAUUAUCUCAAAGGUAUACCAAUAGGCACAUGGUCCCGGGACGCACUUGUCUCAUCACACACCCCAACACCCAGAAUCAGCCAGCCCAAGACAAUGGUGUCAUCUCCUAUUAAGGUGAAGUGCUAACUCAGGGACAGCACCCUGUUCUGAGGGUAUGAGCUGAAAUAGUAAAUCUUAUGUGAUGCUCUGCCCUCUGUGACUAGGACACACAGAACCCGGAAUGAAGGGGUACAAGUGGGAUCUGCCGUGUCAUCAUCAUUCCUACUGACCCACUUGAGAAAUCUGUGCCUCUUUUCCCAGUAAACACAGGCUCUGCCAGGUUAGAGUGGCUCGAUUCCCAGGUGAUGAAUGCUUCUGCCAGAGGACAAAGUGAAGUUACUACUGAACUAGUCACAACAACUACCUAGACACUGUGGGAUCUUCCUUGGGUGGACCAUCAGGUAAAGAAGUGUUACCACAAUGGCCGACUUAAUUGCCUGACCACCGUGAGAAACCAGGGCUGUUGCUGCAGCACGAUGGGGGUGGGGUGGGGGGUAGGUUUGUGUGGAAUCAGAAGAUGCUCCAGGGCAUCUCUUGGUACCUCUGUGAUAAUGGUGACCACAACUCCUCAAAAGCAAGGCCACUAAAGUACCUGGACUGCUCAGGGAUGAAGGGCCAGGUCCCAUAGGCUGGCCUGGUGGGGGAAACCUCUGUGGGAGAGUGGAGAAAGAAGACAAUGAUGACAAAUUGCAGCCUUCCAACUCUUCAAGAAUGGAACCUGUUUCACUCUCCUC
rnacentral:lncRNA from 1 species